AGUUGAGCCGUUGGUGCGAGGCGCGCGUGCGCACCGUCUCCCGCUUUCGGUUGGGCGAGGUUUCAGUCUCCCAAGUGCGCUUCGCGGAAGCCUGUACCUUGCCAGCAAGCGGGGCCUCCGCCUGCGACACGGUUUAAAUUGGCAGACUAGUCGUACUUGCAUUGAGCUCUCUGAAACUACAUUAAUAAACUUAGUGGGGCUGAGGCCGGGCACCUCCACUUACACAGAAGUGUGAGAGGAUGCUUAACAGGACAUUGUGCUGCCUGACACAGAGCCAUUGCUGCUUCCCUGUGAGCCCCACUUCUGCACUGAUCACUUCUUCCUUUCAUUUUUGGCACUGCUAAAAUGUGGAUGUGCCAAGGCUCUCCAGCGACUUCCGCUGACAGCAUGCUGCGCUCUCUUUUCUUCCCAACCCUAUACCGCAUAUAACACCAAUGUCUCACAACAAAUGUAACUGAAGAACCUGAAGAAAGAGACAAUGCAUGUGCUCUUGAAAACAAGGGGAAAUUAUUGUGUGUGUU